UACAGAGGUCUCAAGCGUUGUUCGGAUUCAUUGGGCGUAAAGGGUGCGUAGGUGGCGCCAUAAGUCAGGUGUGAAAUCUCGGAGCUCAACUCCGAAACUGCACUUGAUACUGUGGUGCUGGAGUACUGGAGAGGAGAUUGGAAUUUACGGUGUAGCAGUGAAAUGCGUAGAUAUCGUAAGGAAGACCAGUGGCGAAGGCGAAUCUCUGGACAGUUACUGACACUGAGGCACGAAGGCCAGGGGAGCAAACGGG
rnacentral:rRNA from 1 species